UGAGCAGAAUAAACAAGAAAAGCGGUGGAGUAAAUUGUGAUGGUGGGCAAUUCGUGUGUGUUUUAAUAGAAAAUAAUGACCUAUAGUUUACAAACACAGUGUAAGAAGACCAGCAAGUGAACGGGUGUAUACUAUAUCUAUAUAUAGAAAUUCGUGAAAAUUAUCGAACCUAUUUGUCAAAAGAGGAACGGAACACACACACACAGACUCACAUCAACAAAAGAGAGAUGAAAAGUUUUCGAGAACUCCAAAAAAAAAAAAUUAUUAUCUCAACGAAUAAAAUAUAAAAUAUUCAUAUAGAAUUGUGAAAAUCCUUCAACAACAAUGAAAAUGAAAUUAAUACGAAAAUCCUUCAAGAAGAAUUAUGAAUUUAGAAAAAAAUCUUUUUGGAAGAAUUCCAAAUUUGAUUUUCGAGUGUGGGAAAAUCAAGGGGAAUAAAUUUUGAAAAACCAAAUUCUAUAUAUUGAAAAUAGAAGGAAAAAGAAAAUAAAAAAAAAAAAAAACGAAAGAAGAGAAAAAUUAUGAAAAUUUAUAAUUAUAAAUUAUAAAAAAAAAAAAAUUCACAAUAAAAAUAGAAGAGAAAAAUUACAAAAAUUCAUAAUUGUAAAUUAUAAAAAAAAAUUCACAAUUAUAAAUUGUAAAUUAGAAAUAAAAAAAAAAAAAAAAAAUUGUGAUAGAAAAUUUAGAGAAGCAAUUGAAGAAAAGAAUUUUUGUGAUUUAGAAAUUUUUGAAAAAUUUUCAAAGAGAGAGAGAGAGUUAAAAAAAAGGAAGAGGGGUGAAAAAAAGAGAUGUAUGUUGAAAAUACGGUCCUGGUGGUCGGUGGCGGCGGCGGUGGUGGUCUCGUGUCCGCCGGGUCGGGGGCGGAUCGUCCUUUUCUCCACUCUGCCCCUUUGGAGCACAAGUGAUACUAUCGUCGUGGUGUGGUGGUAGCUUCAGGUUUUUUCGUUGUGAGGAGAAUUUGAGAGAGAAAAGAGCCAGAGAGGCGCGCGUUCUCCGACCCGGUGCAUCGUCCCGGUUUGAUCGUCGUUUCAGUAUCUCGUUGAGUCUUCGUAAAGUCAACAACGCAAACCCACCCUCGAGAGUGAUUUUUACAAUUUUUCAGCUGCAAAAUUAUUCUCGAGUCUUCUACAUUAUAAAUAAUAAACAACAAUAAAUGACAUUUCAUCCAACGCCCUAAAAAAAAAAUCUUUCACAAUUUCUAGAUUUCAUAAUUUUUUCUCCUUUUUUUUCCAAUGCAGUGCUGCUGGUGCUAAAAGUGUAAAAUUAUCAUUUCAAAAAUAAUAAUUGUUUUCGCAAUUUAUUCUUGAGAAGAAAAAAAAUAUAUCAUUUUCAAUUCAAUAUUAAUUCGAGAAGGAGGAAAAAUAAAAAUUGAAUUGAUAAUUUUGGAAAAAAAAAAUUCAAUUCGAAUAUAAAUUGAAUAAAAAUAUGAUUUUCAGUCGAAAAUUAGAAACAAAAUCGAGAAUUAAAGAAAACGAUUAUUAAAUUAAAAAAUUGAAAUCCUUAAGGAUAAAUUUCAAGUGGAAAAUGAAUAAAAAUAAUAAUUAUUAUCGAACUGUGAGAAAUUUUGUGACAAUGUUUUGUGAGAAUGAGAAGAAUUUAUUAAUGAAUAUAUAAUUAAAAAAUCAAGGAUGUGACAAUAUUAUUGAGAUGCAAUGAUUUUCAAUGUUCUAAUAAUGGACUUUCAACUUGUACCGGUUUGAUAUUUCUUUAUUGUCUUGAUACUCGAGACACGUAACGAGGAAGGGGAAAAAAACCUCAAAAAAAAAAUAAAUAAAAAAAAAUAAAUGUGUAGAUAGCAAUCGAGGGAUUCCAUCAAGAUGUUGAUAAAAGAAUAUCGAAUACCUCUACCCUUGACGGUGGAGGAAUAUCGGAUUGCUCAGCUGUACAUGAUAGCGAAAAAGUCGAGGGAGGAGAGCAAAGGUGCCGGAAGUGGUGUCGAGAUAAUUGUAAAUGAACCGUACACAAAUGGUCCAGGAGGAAAUGGUCAAUAUACACAUAAAAUUUAUCAUGUUGGAAGUCAUUUGCCCGGUUGGUUCAAAAGUUUAUUACCAAAAUCGGCAUUGACAGUCAAGGAGGAGGCAUGGAAUGCUUAUCCAUACACAAAGACACGAUACACUUGUCCUUUUGUUGAGAAAUUCUCUUUAGAAAUUGAAACUUAUUAUUAUCCUGAUAAUGGACAUCAGGAAAAUGUUUUCAAACUUAGCGGGAGUGAUCUCAGAAAUAGAAUUGUUGAUCUUAUUGACGUCGUGAAAGAUCCGCUCUAUGGAGCAGAUUACGUGAAAGAAGAGGAUCCAAAUUCGUACAUAUCGGAGAAGACUGCAAGAGGUCCUUUAACGGAAAAUUGGCUGGAUGAAUAUUGGAAUGAUGUUAAGGGAAAAUCACAACCAACGCCUGCGGGAAAAUCUCUGAUGUGCGCCUACAAAUUAUGUCGUGUGGAAUUUCGUUAUUGGGGAAUGCAAACGAAAUUGGAAAAAUUCAUUCACGAUGUGGCCCUGAGAAAGACAAUGUUGAGAGCACAUCGACAAGCGUGGGCUUGGCAGGACGAGUGGUUUGGUUUAACGAUGGAUGAUAUAAGGGAAAUAGAGCGACAAACGCAACUUGCUCUUCAGAAAAAAAUGGGCCUCGCUGAAUCGGGCGAGGACGAUGAAGACGAGGAGGAGACACUCGGUACUUCGAAUACAAUUUCGACACCUCAGGAUUCGAAUGUCGCUAAAACUCUUGCUGCCACUUUGGGAAGUAUUGAGAAAAAUGAAGAUCCCCAAAGUCCCCCGUCUCUUAGAAAACCGUCCGACAUUCCAAUAAUCAACACAGCCGUCAGUUCUGAGGGCGAAGCAUCACCCGAGGAUUCGCCCAUUGAAACAACAGCUCCUCGACCGACACAGAAAGUGGAACCAGAAAAAUCCUGGAAAAAAUCAACAGCAUCUCUGCCAUCUCCAAAUUCAUCGAAAAAUUUCGAUAUUCAAAUUGCAAACUGGCGAAUGGAAAGUAUUGUGAGAGAAUCGGAAUCGGGAAGUGAUGACGAAUUUUUUGAUUGCCAAGCAGCUGGGUUCAUUAUACCUACUAUUCGCAAAGAGGACUUGGGGGAUAACUCAUCAUUAUGUAAAUGGAGUUCUUUGGAUCUUCUAGCAGAAGUUGAAGAUUCUACGUCUCCGACAGCAGUGACUGCCUCAAAACAAGAAGAAGAUUCGAUAUUUUCCACAUCGUAUUUGCAACGAGUUGCGAGUGAACGAAGUAGUAAACGAUUACAAAUUAGAACGUCUACGAGUGUCGAUGUCUCUUGUAUUCCAUCACCACAACAAUCGCCCACACAUCAACCCUGCAGGACAACAGUUUUAUUACUCGUCAUGCAUGCCGGCAGUGUUCUCGAUGCCAAUGUUGAUUUGCCGGCGAAAAAAUCGGAUAUCACGACCUUCAGGGGAGCCUUUGAAUCGGUGAUGAGACAACAUUAUCCAAGUAUGGUUGGUCAUAUAGAUGUUAGAUUAGUUGCUUGUCCAUCAAUUUGCAGCGAGGGACUUGGUAUUCUCUCCAUUUUGAGUCCCUAUAGUUUCGAUGUGUCACCAUCAUGUAUGGAUACACCUCAAGUAACUCACGAUACAAUACCAAUUGGUGCAAUUCCACUAUUGGCAAGUUCAAGUUCCGAAUAUCAAGACUCCGUCUCGAAAGUGAUUAAUACAGCGAAUCAAGUUUAUCAAGAUUUCAUUAGAAGCGAAGAAGGCAAAGGUUUUAAUGGACAAGUUUGUUUUAUUGCUGAUUCAGUUGGAUCGAUAUUAGCCUAUGAUGCACUUUGUCGAACAUCACAAUAUCAUUCGAGAAAUGGAAGUGAAAAUAGCAUUUUAGAAAAUGACAAUCAAACGACAGAUAAUAAUGGUGGCGGUGGCGUUGAGGAUGGUAAACAUUUAUCAGCUCCAUCGCCAAGAAGAAGAUCAUCAUCAACAAGCGAUCAUUCUCAACAAUGUAAAUUAGAAUUUGAAGUAAGCGAAUUUUUCAUGUUUGGAAGUCCCUUGGGUUUGGUGUUGUCUUACAGGAAAAUCUCCUCGAACGAUGAUAAAAGCAGUAAUAUUCCAAGGCCGGCCGUUAAUCAAGUGUACAAUAUGUUCCAUCCCACUGAACCGGUAGCUGCUAGAUUAGAGCCUUUAAUUUCAGCGAGAUUCUCCCUUUUGCCACCAGUUAACGUUGCCCGAUAUCAAAAAUAUCCACUUGGGAACGGUCUACCUUGUCAUUUACUGGAUGCAAUUCAGUCUAAUCCACAUUUCUUCACCGAUGGUUUGAACGUUCCUAAUGCAACGUUUUCAACAAUGCGACGACUCUCGGAUAUUUCCAUUCAGAGUUCCAUGUCAGGAAUGAUUGACACUAUUCCAUUGCAAGCUGUUUCUGCCCUAAUGCAAAAAUGGUGGGGAACAAAAAGGAUAGAUUACGCAUUAUAUUGUCCUGAGGGUCUUGCCAAUUUUCCCGCGAAUGCAUUGCCUCAUCUAUUUCAUGCGAGUUAUUGGGAAUCGUCGGAUGUUAUUGCCUUUAUUUUACGACAAUUGAGCAGAUUUGAUUUGCCAUUACUUUCUAAUGAAGAGAAAGAGCUCACAUGCUUCCGUCCAGGUCAGCCGCGAGAGAAAUGGAAUAAAAAACGCACUUCCGUUAAAUUAAAGAGUGUGGCUGCGAAUCACAGAGCAAACGACGUGAUUGUAAGAGAGGGUGUGCCACAAAUUCUAGUCGCUAGAUUUAUGUAUAGUCCAAUAGAUGUGAUUGCGUUAACGGGUGAAAAAGUAGACAUUCAUAUCAUGAGAGAUGCACCGGCCGGCGAAUGGAGUUAUCUUUCUACCGAAGUCACGGAUAAAAAUGGAAGAAUUGUUUACCGGAUUCCCGAUGAAAAGGCUUUGGGUUAUGGUCUUCAUCCUAUUAAAAUGGUAGUCAGGGGCGACCACACGUCGGUAGAUUUUUUCAUGGCUGUGAUACCACCUAGAACAGAGUGUGUAGUUUUUAGUAUUGAUGGAAGUUUUACUGCUAGCGUUUCUGUAAGUGGAAAGGACCCUAAAGUGAGACCCGGAGCUGUCGAUGUUGUGAGACACUGGCAAGAAUUGGGAUACUUAAUAAUUUACAUAACAGCAAGACCGGAUAUGCAACAACAAAAAGUUGUGUCCUGGCUUUCGCAACACAAUUUUCCACAUGGACUUGUCUCCUUUGCGGAAGGUAUUAAUAAGGAUCCUCUACGUCCUAAGGCUGCGUACUUAAACAAUCUUGUCCAGGAACACGGAGUGAUUAUUCAUUACGCUUACGGUAGCAGUAAAGACAUAAAUGUCUAUACGUCGAUAAAUUUAAAACCAAAUCAAAUAUUUAUCGUUGGUAAAGUUCCAAAGAAACAACAAGCAUUAGCGACAGUUUUAUCGGAAGGUUACGCGGCUCAUUUGAGUACACUACAAGCUCAUGGUGGUUCGCGACCUGCUCAGGGAAAUGCCCGAAUGGUCAUUCCAAGGGGACAAUUUGGACUUCCUGGUCAAAACACAUCGUUGCGACGAAGAAGUAACGACACAGCAGUCAGCUCGCCAGCGCGUAGCAACGUGCACUUAAAGCGGAAAGUCUACCUUAGUCACAUCUAACACGCUCCUAAAAUCUGCGUACAAUUUACUAACUUACAUUGGUGCCUGCUAUGAGGAUUUAUCGCGUUGUGCAGCAUAGCUAAUAUUUCAUCCUACAAGCUGCCCAGCAUCCUAUGCUCAAAAUACAAAAAAUUUAUUCUUUAAAUGUCGACCGUUAAAUACACAAUAUGUCCAGGAUUUGUGGUUAAGCAGCUAUAAAUGACUCUCUCUCUCAAUCUCUCACAACAAAAAAAAAAUGAGAUUAAAUAUCAUUUUUCGUUUGAAUCCAAAAAAAAAAAAAAAAAAAAUAACAAAAUAAAAACGAAAUGGUCUCUCUCGCUUUUACAUUCAAAGUUCUUUUAGGACACCAAGACGCUCAGCUUUUGGUCGCAGAGUCUUAGAGCGAAGUACAAGCGUGGGACCCUCGACAUCAUCAUCUUCGUCAGCACCACCGACAAAGACACCAGCUCAAGAAAAACUCUGACGCUUUGCACGCUGCCGUUCAUUCUUCGAGUCUCGGCAGUAAAAAAAAAUAGACAAAACCAAAAAGUAAGGAAUCGACACUGAUACUAAAAUUAAAAAAAACUGUACUCUAAAUUCUAAAAAGAAAAAAAAAAUAUCCGAUUUUAUUCGCGCACUGAUCGAAGUUUAUUUUUUAUACGUAAAAAGAAAACGCUAAUACUCGUUCAAAAACUGAUACGAUUAUUAUUAAAGUUUCUAAACAAAAAAAAAAAAA